UGGGGAAUUUUGGACAAUGGGCGCAAGCCUGAUCCAGCCAUGCCGCGUGCGGGAAGAAGGCCUUCGGGUUGUAAACCGCUUUUGUCAGGGAAGAAAUCUUCUGAGUUAAUACCUCGGGAGGAUGACGGUACCUGAAGAAUAAGCACCGGCUAACUACGUGCCAGCAGCCGCGGUAAUACGUAGGGUGCAAGCGUUAAUCGGAAUUACUGGGCGUAAAGCGUGCGCAGGCGGUUUUGUAAGACAGAGGUGGAAUCCCGGCUCAACCUGGGAACUGCCUUUGUGACUGCAAGGCUUGAGUGCGGCAGAGGGGGAUGGAAUUCCGCGUGUAGCAGUGAAAUGCGUAGAUAUGCGGAGGAACACCGAUGGCGAAGGCAAUCCCCUGGGCCUGCACUGACGCUCAUGCACGAAAGCGUGGGGAGCAAACAGGAUUAGAUACCCUGGUAGUCCACGCCCUAAACGAUGUCAACUGGUUGUUGGGAAGGUUCCUUCUCAGUAACGUAGCUAACGCGUGAAGUUGACCGCCUGGGGAGUACGGCCGCAAGGUUGAAACUCAAAUGAAUUGACGGGGUCAUAGCUGUUUCCUG
rnacentral:rRNA from 1 species